GCGAGCAUAAUUUAAUGGUAGAAUGCAACCUUCCCAAGGUUGAUGUGCGGGUUCGAUUCCCGUUGCUCGCUCCA
rnacentral:tRNA from 2 species